AUUGAACGCUGGCGGCAUGCUUUACACAUGCAAGUCGAACGGCAGCACGGGAGCUUGCUCCUGGUGGCGAGUGGCGAACGGGUGAGUAAUGCAUCGGAACGUACCCAGUAGUGGGGGAUAGCCCGGCGAAAGCCGGAUUAAUACCGCAUAUUUCCUGAGGGAGAAAGCGGGGGACCUUCGGGCCUCGCGCUACUGGAGCGGCUGAUGUCGGAUUAGCUAGUUGGUGGGGGUAAAGGCCUACCAAGGCGACGAUCCGUAGCUGGUCUGAGAGGAUGAUCAGCCACACUGGGACUGAGACACGGCCCAGACUCCUACGGGGAGGCAGCAGUGGGGAAUUUGGACAAUGGGCGAAAGCCUGAUCCAGCCAUGCCGCGUGAGUGAAGAAGGCCUUCGGGGUUGUAAAG
rnacentral:rRNA from 1 species